rnacentral:rRNA from 1 species
AGCGAACGCUGGCGGCAGGCUUAACACAUGCAAGUCGAGCGGGUGUAGCAAUACACCAGCGGCAGACGGGUGAGUAACGCGUGGGAACGUACCUUUUGGUUCGGAACAACCCAGGGAAACUUGGGCUAAUACCGGAUAAGCCCUUACGGGGAAAGAUUUAUCGCCGAAAGAUCGGCCCGCGUCUGAUUAGCUAGUUGGUGAGGUAAUGGCUCACAAAGGCGACGAUCAGUAGCUGGUCUGAGAGGAUGAUCAGCCACAUUGGGACUGGGACACGGCCCAAACUCCUACGGGAGGCAGCAGUGGGGAAUAUUGGACAAUGGGGGCAACCCUGAUCCAGCCAUGCCGCGUGAGUGAUGAAGGCCCUAGGGUUGUAAAGCUCUUUUGCGCGGGAAGAUAAUGACGGUACCGCAAGAAUAAGCCCCGGCUAACUUCGUGCCAGCCGCCGCCGUAAUAC